rnacentral:rRNA from 1 species
AUGAACGCUGGCGGCGUGCCUAAUACAUGCCAGUCGAGCGAACAGAUGAGGAGCUUGCUCCUCUGACGUUAGCGGCGGACGGGUGAGUAACACGUGGAUAACCUACCUAUAAGACUGGGAUAACUUCGGGAAACCGGAGCUAAUACCGGAUAAUAUAUUGAACCGCAUGGUUCAAUAGUGAAAGACGGUUUUGCUGUCACUUAUAGAUGGAUCCGCGCCGCAUUAGCUAGUUGGUAAGGUAACGGCUUACCAAGGCGACGAUGCGUAGCCGACCUGAGAGGGUGAUCGGCCACACUGGAACUGAGACACGGUCCAGACUCCUACGGGAGGCAGCAGUAGGGAAUCUUCCGCAAUGGGCGAAAGCCUGACGGAGCAACGCCGCGUGAGUGAUGAAGGUCUUCGGAUCGUAAAACUCUGUUAUUAGGGAAGAACAAAUGUGUAAGUAACUAUGCACGUCUUGACGGUACCUAAUCAGAAAGCCACGGCUAACUACGUG